UGCCUUGAACAGUACUUGCCACUCAAUAGUAUGUCUGAUUUGAAAGUGACCUUGGCCUGGGAAAAGUCCAUCAGGUGUGACACAAGGCUCAAGGAAAGUAUGAGAAAAGGUGACUAUUCUCCAUCUUCUUGGGUGUCCAGGGACAGUUGUAGGAGUGGCUCCAGCAUAGCUACAAGGGCAGGCUCUGAGGUGGUAUCUGCCCCCAAAAAUCAUUUCUGUGUUGCAUGAGCAUCAUUUGAAAAGACCUGCCGCAUCAUCCCUACCAAUAGGGCUGUAAGCACCUGAUUUCCUGUAUCAUGUCUUCUCUAGCUUAAAAUAUAGUGCUUUUUCCUUCUCAGAAUCCUGACUAAAAAAAAGAAAGGAAAGGUGAGAAAAAGAAAAAAAAUGGAAUAAAUAUGUCUAUGCCACAACA
rnacentral:lncRNA from 1 species